GAUGAACGCUGGCGGCGUGCUUAACACAUGCAAGUCGAAGGGAAAGGCCCAAGCUUGCUUGGGUACUCGAGUGGCGAACGGGUGAGUAACACGUGGGUGAUCUGCCCUGCACUUCGGGAUAAGCCUGGGAAACUGGGUCUAAUACCGGAUAGGACCACUUCUUGGAUGUUGUGGUGGAAAGUUUUUUCGGUGUGGGAUGAGCUCGCGGCCUAUCGGCUGGUUGGUGGGGUAAUGGCCUACCAAGGCGUCGACGGGUAGCCGGCCUGAGAGGGUGUACGGUCCCAUUUGGACUAAGAUACGGCCCAGACGCCUACGGGAGGCAGCGGUGGGGAAUAUUGCGCAACGAGCGCAAGCCAGAUGCAACGACGCCGCGUGGGGGAUGACCGCCUUCGGGUUGUGAACUCCUUUCGCUAGGGACGAAGCGUUUUGUGACGGUACCUGGAGAAGAAGCACCGGCUAACUACGUG
rnacentral:rRNA from 1 species